UUCCUGAGGAAGCUGAGAUCCUUCAACGUGUGCAGCAAGAUUUUGGAGAUCUUUCACCAGUCUGUUGUUGCCAGUGUCAUUUUUCUUUGCUGCUGUGUGUUGGGACAGCAGCAUCAGAGCCAGCGACACUAACAGACUUGAUAAAAUCAUCAAGAAGGCUGGCUCUGUACUUGGUUGCAGGUUGGAUUCUUUUGAGACCGUGGUGGAGAGGAGAACGCUGAAUAAACUGUUAUCCAUUAUGGACAAUGAUCAGCACCCUCUCCAUCACACAGUAGACAGACAGCGGAGCACCUUCUCACACAGACUGCUGCAGCUCUGCUGUCGAAGGAUACAGGAAAUCUUUCCUGUCACAUGCUACCACACUGUACAAAACCAGCUAAAACUUUGGUCAUAGCACAUAGUCUCUACGCACUUCGGUUUUACACUCUCUGUUCACCGCACCUUAUAUUUUAUCUUGCACCUCAAUUACUCUGCUUAUUUAUACACUUUUAUACAUUUUGUAUAUUACGUUUUUUACAUUUCUAUUUAAUAUGUAUAGGUUGUUCCUCUUAUUUCAUUGUGUGAUAUUGUCUCUGUGUAUAAUGCUGCUGCUACAUUGAAAUUUCCCAGCUUUGGAGCAAUACAGUCUGUCUGUCUAUCUGUCUGUCUAUCUAUAUAUACAGAGAUGCUGCAUUAUCGCCAAAGAGGGUGAUUUGACAAUUCUCCACCUACGUUUAUGAACACAGAACCAAGCAACUCCAAUGUAAUGAACUGCUGUGUAAUUCACACAGCAACCUGGGGUCGUGGCUCCUAAAGAUGGGUGAAGGGAGGCAGGUAGCUUUCUGCAGUAAACUUCACUAAGGUCUGGACCAGGAGGGCUUUUCAUCACAAUCACAAGGUCACUUGCCUUUCCUCAUGUGUCUCCAGUCUGACAUCUCCCCUGAUCCCUGAUUGUUUCCAGCUGUUCCCCAAUUACCCUCUUGUGUUAUUUAAGUCUGCGUCUCCAUUUGUCUUGUGCCAAAGUGUCUCAUUCUGUUGUGCACCCAAGCCCUUAUUCCUUGUUCCAAGUCAUAGUCUAAGUAUUGAAAUCAUUGUUGGUCUUUUUUAGGUUAAUUCAUAGCCUCGUGAAGAGUGAUUUUUUUUGUUUGUUAGACUUUUCUGUGCAGCUCAGUCUCACAAUUUUGUUUCAUAGCCUUUUUGUUUCCUCCAUUGAAGUGAUUUUCAUUUGUUAAUAUUUCACAGCUUAGUCUGUCAGUAUAGUUUUGUUUUAUAGCCAUGUACCUACCUCCUUUGGGAUGAUUUUGUGUUAUACUUUUUAUAGCCCAAGCCUUUUCAGUGUAGUCAGUUUGUAGUCUUUUGUUUUCCUCAGUGUGAGUGUUUUGUUUUAUCUAUUGAGGAUUUCCCACCAUUGGUGAGUUUUUGAUUUCUGCCUUCCCUAGUUAUCAGAUAGCCAGGUUAAGAUUUUCACAGC